ACGCUCGACACCUACGGGAGGCUGCAGUGGGGAAUAUUGCACAAUGGAGGAAACUCUGAUGCAGCGACGCCGCGUGAGGGAAGAAGGUCUUCGGAUUGUAAACCUCUGUUGUCAGGGACGAUGAUGACGGUACCUGACGAGGAAGCCACGGCUAACUACGUGCCAGCAGCCGCGGUAAUCUGAGCGGGCUGGCAAGGC
rnacentral:rRNA from 1 species